GUGAGGAAUAUUGCGCAAUGGAGGCAACUCUGACGCAGCCAUGCCGCGUGCAGGAAGAAGGCGCUACGCGUUGUAAACUGCUUUUAACCGGGAAGAAACCCCAGGACGUGUCCUGGGUUGACGGUACCGGAGGAAUAAGCACCGGCUAACUUCGUGCCAGCAGCCGCGGUAAUACGAAGGGUGCAAGCGUUAUCCGGAUUCAUUGGGUUUUAAGGGUGCGUAGGCGGAGCGUUAAGUCAGUGGUGAAAUCCUGCAGCUUAACUGUAGACUUGCCAUUGAUACUGGCGCUCUUGAGUGCGCUUGAAGUGGGCGGAAUGUGCCGUGUAGCGGUGAAAUGCUUAGAUAUGGCACAGAACACCAAUUGCGAAGGCAGCUCACUAAGGCGAUACUGACGCUGAGGCACGAAAGCGUGGGGAUCGAACAGGAUUAGAUACCCGUGUAGUCC
rnacentral:rRNA from 1 species